UUUCCGUAGGUGAACCUGCGGAAGGAUCAUUAUCGAAUUCAGAAGGCUCGAGUUGUAGCUGGUCUCUCAUGGGACAGGUGCUCGCUCUUGCUCUUUUCCGACUCACCCUGUGCACUCUUGCGUGGGUUGUGGUGGCUCUUGCCCAUCGCACCUGCGAUUUUCAUAUACCCUUUGCAUGUAUCAGAAUGUUCUUUGCGUUGUACGCAUCUAAUACAACUUUCAACAACGGAUCUCUUGGCUCUCGCAUCGAUGAAGAACGCAGC
rnacentral:misc_RNA from 1 species